rnacentral:rRNA from 1 species
ACAGAGGGUGCAAGCGUUAAUCGGAAUUACUGGGCGUAAAGCGCACGUAGGUGGUUUGGUAAGUCGGAUGUGAAAGCCCCGGGCUCAACCUGGGAAUUGCAUUCGAUACUGCCUGGCUAGAGUAUGGUAGAGGGGGGUAGAAUUCCCGGUGUAGCGGUGAAAUGAGUAGAUAUUGAGAGGAAGACGAGAAGCGGAGGCGAUCCACAGGGCUGAGACUGACUCUGGGGUUUGAAAGCGGGGGAAGCAAACAG